rnacentral:tRNA from 1 species
GGUGGGGUGGCCGAGUGGUUAAGGGCACUGGAUUUGAAAUCUGGAGGUCCCUGGUUCAAAUCCUCCAUAA